rnacentral:misc_RNA from 1 species
UCUCCGUUGGUGAACCAGCGGAGGGAUCAUUAUAGAGUUUUCUAAACUCCCAACCCAUGUGAACUUACCAUAUGUUGCCUCGGCAGAACCUACCCUGUAGCGGGCUGCCGGCGGACCUCUAAACUCUUGUUAUACUAUUGUAAUCUGAGCGUCUUAUUUUAAUAAGUCAAAACUUUCAACAACGGAUCUCUUGGUUCUGGCAUCGAUGAAGAACGCAGC